AUUGAACGCUGGCGGCAUGCUUUACACAUGCAAGUCGAACGAGUGGCGAACGGGUGAGUAAUAUAUCGGAACGUACCGAGUAAUGGGGGAUAACCAAUCGAAAGAUUGGCUAAUACCGCAUAUUAUUCAGCGGCCGAUAACUGAUUAGCUAGUUGGUGGGGUAAAGGCCUACCAAGGCGACGAUCAGUAGCGGUCUGAGAGGACGAUCCGCCACAUGGGACUGAGACACGGCCCAGACUCCUACGGGAGGCAGCAGUGGGGAAUUUUGGACAAUGGGGGCAACCCUGAUCCAGCCAUGCCGCGUGUAUGAAGAAGGUCUUCGGAUUGUAAAGCACUUUAAGUUGGGAGGCGUUACCAACAGAAUAAGCACCGGCUAACUUCGUGCCAGCAGCCGCGGUAAUUC
rnacentral:rRNA from 1 species